rnacentral:rRNA from 1 species
GACGAACGCUGGCGGCGUGCUUAACACAUGCAAGUCGAACGGAAAGGCCCUGCUUUUGUGGGGUGCUCGAGUGGCGAACGGGUGAGUAACACGUGAGUAACCUGCCCUUGACUGUGGGAUAACUUCAGGAAACUGGGGCUAAUACCGGAUAGGAGCUCCUGCUGCAUGGGGGGGGUUGGAAAGUUUCGGCGGUUGGGGAUGGACUCGCGGCUUAUCAGCUUGUUGGUGGGGUAGUGGCUUACCAAGGCUUUGACGGGUAGCCGGCCUGAGAGGGUGACCGGCCACCUUGGGACUGAGAUACGGCCCAGUCUCCUACGGGAGGCAGCAGUGGAGAGUAUUGCACAGUGGGCCGAAGCCUGAUGCAGCAGCGCCGCGUGCGGGAUGACGGCCUUCGGGUUGUGAACCGCUUUCGCCUGUGACGAAGCGUGAGUGACGGUAAUGGGUAAAGAAGCACCGGCUAACUACGUG